CCUGGAUCUUUGCAGCUGUUACCGAUUGCCUGCUCCCCCUCCUGGCGGCAUGGGCUCAGGCGUAGGAAGAGGGUCCUCAGAACAGAAUGGGUUGUGGACGGCUCUGGAGGCCAUGAAGUGGUGAUGAAAUGUCAAUAAUAUAGGUGCAUUUCCCACAAAGGGACAUUUCAAGUAUUGUAUUGAGUAAAGCAGGGCCUUACCGGUGGAUGGUGUUGGGUCACGCUCCUUCUGUUUAGGCUUGACUAUGGGGGUAUAUGGCCAGGUCUGUGUUGGAGGGUCAGGGAGGGUUGUCUGGCUGAUGGGGCCUGCAAAAAGGCUUCGAAAGGGUUUUCCCACUGGCUUCUGAGUCUCAAGCAUAGCCUCAAGUGAAUGAGAAGCUGGUCUUUCAGCAGUGAAAUUUCUAGGGGGAUCUGGUUGGGUCUGUGUUGGAUGGCCGGAGGUGGAGGUCUGUGUGAGGGGGCCGGCAAAGAGGCUACGAAAUGGUUUUUCCAUGGACUUCUGGGACUCACUGACAGCCUCAACUGAGGAUGUCCGUCUCUUGCAGACUGGCAGAGGCUCAGAAGACCGAAUGGGGUCUGGAGGACUAAAUGCAGUGCUGGGGGGAUUUGGUCGGGUCUGUCUGGGAGGGUGGUUAUUGGGUGUCUGGCUGAUGGGGCCUGCAAAGAUGCUACGGAAGGGUUUUUCCAUGGGCUUUUUAGAAGCUGGUGUCUUACAACCGGGGGAGUUUAGGGAUUGUGAGGGAGGGUCGGUAGUGGUCUGGCUGAUGGUUCCUGCAAAAAGGCUGCGGAAGGGGGUUUCCACAGGCUUGUGGGACUUUAGAACAGCCUUAACUGAAUAAGAAGCUGGUCUCGUACAGCCUGGGGUGUUGAUGGGAGAAUUAGCAGAGUUCUGUAUGAGAGGUCUAGUAGAGGUCUGGCUGAUCGGUCCUGCAAAGAGACUGCAAAAGGUUUUUUUCACCAGCUUCUGGGGCGUAGAGAGAGCCUCAACUGAAUAAGAAGCCUGCCUCUUAUUCAGAUGAGGACCAGACAAACUAAUGGGGUCUGGAGAAACGAAUGUAGUGUUGGGGGGAUCUGAUUGGAUCUGUGUGGGGAGUGUGAAGGACUGGGUGAUGGAUCCUGAAAAUUGGCUGCAGAAGGGUUUUUCUACAGGCUUCUGGAAUCCAAGCACAGCUUUGACUGAAUAAGGAACAUUUCUCUUCCCGCAUGUAGAGUUUAGGGGUGGAUCAGGAGUGUGGAUAGAGUCUGGAGGAACUAAUGUAGUUGUGAGGGGAUCUGGUUGGGUCUGUGAGGUCUGGCUGAUAGAGGCUGCAAAGAAGCUGCGGAAGGGUUUUUCCAGGGGCCUAUGGGACCCAAGCACAGCCUCAACUGAAUAAGAAACCGGUUCCUUGAAGCCAGGAGAGCUUGGGGGAGGAUCAGGAGACCGAAUGGACUCUGUAGGAGGGGCAAUUUCCUUCUCCACGACCUCAGCUGACACUUCAUUCUGACACAUGGGGGUACUUUCCUCAGCAUGUGGCUCAGAGGGUGAUGAACUGUUGUAAAAGUUUGGCCUGAAAUCCAGACAAAUGUAGCCAAUCAAUAAAACACGAGUGAAUAACUUUAAUUUACUAUCAACAGUGUAAAAUGUAAAGCUCAUCCACAUACACCCACUACUGUUCUAACACACUACUGUGGUGUGGAGGGGUCUUACUAUUCUAACACUACUGUGGUGUGGGGGGUCUUACUAUUCUAACACACUACUGUGGUGUGGGGGGGGUCUUACUAUUCUAACACACUACUGUGGUGUGGGGGGGUCUUACUAUUCUUUUUUAUUUUUUAUUUUUUUUACCCAUUUU
ensembl:lncRNA